AACGGUCUAUACCUGCGGUACCUGCGGAAGGAUCAUUAUUGAAUAAAUUGCCUUGAUGGGUUGUAGCUGGCCUCUCGAGGCAUGUGCACGCCUGUCUUGACUCUAUUCAUCCACCUGUGCACCUUUUGUAGCUCUACUUUCUGAGGUUUAAAGCUUUUGUUCAGUUGAAACACACUGGAUUUGAGGAUUGCUCAUUGUUGGCUUUCCUCUGCUGGGCCUACUCCGGAAGAGAACUAUGUA
rnacentral:misc_RNA from 1 species